UUGUUUCAGAUUUAAUAAAUAUAUGUGUACUGUAUAUAAAAUUUCAUAAAGUUCUGUGUAUUCGAAGAGAUAACAUAGCUACAAGAACACUGAAGACUCCGAAUAACUAAAAUGAAAGCGUGAAAGAUCUCGAAACGAACAAACGAAAAGCCUCGAGACCGUGAAUUUGCCAUCUUCGUCUCGAUAUCAUCUCUGCCUUUGGAUGCAUUAUAAAAUAUUUUGCUCAAGAAGACCUUGGCAUCGUCUUGAAACAGACGAAGAAAAUCGCGUUAAAUUCUAACGCACAAAACGGGCGACGGCAUCAACCCGUAUUUGGAGAAUGCUCGAAAAAUAUCAAUUUGAUGUAUUAACUUCUUAUCAACGUAAAAUCGACGUAAAAAUUGAACGUCCAAAAGGACAGCCGACGACACCAACCAGCUAAGAUCUUCUUUACGUGGCCCGCCCGAGACUUGCAUUCCAAUACUUAUGAGAACAGAACUAUCGGCAAUUUCGAGAAUGUGCUACGUAAUAACGUUAUUCUUGGAUGAAAACUCGUCUGACGUCAAGGAUUCACAAAAAAGCAAGAUUAAUUAUUAAUGGCGGAAUGGGACAAUUACGGGUUGAGAAUAAUCAUCGAAAAUGCCUCUAGAGAAGCAUUGUUUAGUGAAGCAGAGGCUGUUCGAAUGGCCGAUCUCUCGAAAGACAUCGGAAUGAACAAAUUACAAACAAUCGCUCAUCCCAAACGGCCUCUGCCGUGGGAAAGAUUUGUUUAUUUUUACAUGAACUAUGUAAAUCGGCAUUACGGAAAACACCUGACACUACGCCCACAUCGCCAUCUUGGGAUGUUUUUUUUUAAAUAAAUGACGUUGUGUAGGACAAAACUCAGCAAGCAACUAACAGAUCAUCGCUUCCGAACACAACUUCGAGUUGCCAAAAAAUUACACAAUUUUGAACAUCAAGAAUUACAAAUGAUCUAUCCUUCAGCAUCUCGCACUGCUAUGAGAAGAUAUUUCAUGAAAAAUGACGUUGAGCAGAAGAAAAUUCAGCUAACAGCUGAUCGCUUGCAAUCUGAACUUGUGAUUUGAUGAAAAAUUGCUCAGCUCUUGAACACUAAGAAUAAUAAAACCCUCUAAUUCGGCAUCACGUACUGCGGCGAGCCGUAAAAAAAACGCUUUGCAGAACAAAAUUCAGAUAACAGAUCAACAUUUGCAAACACGAGUUGCCGUAAAUUACAACUCUUGAACAUUAAGAAUGAUGGUGAUCUUUCCUUCGUGAUCACGUACUGCUCUUAGCAGCUUGAACAAAUAACGCUGUGCAGAAGAAAAUUCAGCAUCAGAUAAUCACUUGCAAACUCAACUUAGAGUUGCCAACAGAUAACUCAUGAACUUUAAAGACUGACAGUCAUCUCUCCUUCGUGAUCACGUACUGCUCUUAGCAGCUUGAACAAAUAACGCUGUGCAGAAGAAAAUUCAGCAUCAGAUAAUCACUUGCAAACUCAACUUAGAGUUGCCAACAGAUAACUCAUGAACUUUAAAGACUGACCGUCAUCUCUCCUUAGUGAUCACGUACUGCUCUUAGCAGCUUGAACAAAUAACGCUGUGCAGAAUAUUACAAAAUCAACUACAAGUUGAUAAAAACUUUCAAUGACUGUAGGCCCGCCCAAGAAUCUCCAUUCGUUUACGUUAGACAGUUACGUUAGACAGUUAGAGACCCUGAUCUUUUUGUACGCACACUUUAUGUAGAAUCAGGGCCAUCGGGCGAAGAGAGAAGUGCGAUGCGAGCGAAGAUGUGAAGAUUGGACGCUUCGCUAGAGGAUCCUCACUUGUAUGGUACUAGAAAUCUUUUUUCGUCUGUCGGUUCAUUAGUUAGACAGCAAGGAAUGACUAGAUAUAGGGUUCGACAGACAAAUCUAGUCAGGGAUUUAAUGCUGGAGAAUGUCACUUUUCUUCAGGCAUUCUUGAUAGAAUGCAUUCUGGCAUGCAAUGAAAAUCUUUGCAAUGAGUGGAUUAUUCUAUGCUAAUAAUAAUAGCACCGAUAAUAGCUCUUCAUGGGAGUUUUAUAAUACGUGGAUACGUUUAAUACUUGUGGGCGUUUAUCGCCAGUUUGAUAUAUUGAUCCACUAUAUAUGGCCUUGGACGAAUUGUCACAAUUUGUCGAUGCCAGUCUUGAAUACUAAUUGAGAUAGGGAAAUAACCAUUUUUUUCUUUUAAAGGGAAAUAAUCAUUUUUUUUUUCAAAUAAUAAUGCCGAAACCUUUCUAUGAUUUAUCAGUUUUGAGAAAGAAAAAAUGCUCCGUGAAUUUGACUGACCAAAUUGCUAAAAGAAAGGUUUCGGUUAGGCUUAAAUACUGCACUGUGAAUUAUAUUUUUAGUUAGAUAGGGUCUUAGGUUUUUAAUAUUAUUAUCACUAAGGGAAUAAGCUCUAAGUCUCCUUAAUUGAAUCGGCCAUCACUUAUUCACAAAAUGAGGAAGCAGAGCUUCUUGUAUUCAUUCACUCUUAUUUGGUCGAGACUUGGAGCUUUUUCCCACCAUGCAUGCUAGGCUAUAGCACAGACGCCCCUCAAAUUGAGGGCCAGAAGCAGACGAAAGACUUCGGAAGGUACAUUAGAUCCUCUGGUGCAAUAACGGCGAUACUUUCAGAUUCUGUAUAUUUUAACUGAAUUAAAUAGGUUUGAAAUGCUAUUUCAAACUCAUUCGUUCGGUUGCAUUGAAAUUUUGAUUCAAUAUGAGGUCUUUAGUCGUUAUUGCACUUAGAGGCCAAGUCUUGGUUUAUUAUUGACUAUGGAUUCUGUCCAUUGAAGCCAAGAGUCAAUGUUGCCAAGCCCGGUAGCACUAAGCUACUGGUAAGGUAGAUAGACUAGGAAAAUCGUAGUUGAUGACUUUGCGUUGAGCGUACGAGAGUUAUAUAAUUUUCACUUACGACUUCGACAAUAUUUGCAAACUUUAGAGUUUAGACCAAUUGUGCCCCAAAGCAAAGUCGUCUGCUAUGCAUUGUAGAAGUUGCCUUAGGUUUUCGGCAACUUAGGGUUUUGUAGGCCGGUCAGCUUUCAGCUUUAUUGAGUUUAGGACGGCAUUUAUAAACGGACUCAAGACUGCAAUAUUUGAGUCGCUGUUGUAAAUGUAGGGGGAGCAAACGUCCGCGCUGCGACCUAGAUAGCCUAAACCCACGGGUGCUUGCACCAUUUAGUAAGAUUGUGUCCGCGCAGAAUUCGAUACAGAUUUGGUUAGUAAAAGCUGACCUUAGGCAGGUUAGAAUAUUGUAGGGAGCGUUCCGAGUUUUGCAAUUUUAAACCAGUUCGGCGCUAACUAGACUUCGUAAAACUUGGGGCAAAUUUCGUAUCGCUGGGAUGUUCAGGCGGGUGGUUGGGACUGUUGAAUAGUUAGUUUUUUUAGUUAGGGAUAGAUAGGGUUAAGGGUGAAAGGUCAUUAUCACUCGCACUGUUGUCCUCUCUUGUGACUUCAAGUUGGGUUUGAUAAUUUACUUUUUCACGGUGAUAGGAAUGUGUAGGGAGAACAUCAACAAUCGUGUAACGGUUCUCAGAUAUCUUGUCUGGGAAUUGAAACUCUUUUUCUUCCUAUUGACUUUAAGGCCUCAGAUUUACUGUUGUACAUAUUUUGUUUGUGUACUAUGAUUUUGCUUUGUGGCGAAACCAUAUUUAUAUUUUAUAAUGUCGUGCAGUCAAGUGCAAGGCAUUUGUGUUUUUUAUGGUUAUUUGCCUUUCGGCAAAAAUCAUAAUCCUGUACCACGAUGUCGUGCAAAUAUGCUGCAAGGCAUUCAUACAUGUUUAUGUACCACAAUGUCGCGCAAAUCCAAUGCGAGACAUUCGUACAUUUUUUUGUUUCCCCAUGCUUAUUCACACACCAUAUUGUCGUGCAGUCAAAUGCAAGACAUUAUCAUGUAGUGCCGUGCAAAAUAUUGUACGGCAUUACCUAUUUGCUACAUUUUUUCGUCUUCGGUUUUUUACACAAUUUUUUCUAGAGUUGUAUUUGUUACUCUUUUUGCUUUUGUAAAAUCCCACAUUUAAUGAACUAACACUGUUCUCAUAUUUUCAGAUAUCAACCAAAGAAGAUGGAUAUUAGUUAUUUUCAAUGGUAUUUGCGAAACAUGGACACAUUUCGGCCAAUUCUCAGAAAUAAUACACCUACAUGUAGUGCGUGUAAAUUAUUGUACGGCAUUGCUUAUUUGCUACAUCUUUGUUAAUUACAUAUCUCUCAUAUUUGUGCUACUAACCUCUUCAUUUUGUUGCAAUGUACUUUUGUUUAAAUUGUCAUUUCUUAUACUAAAACUGUUCUCAUAUUUUCAGAUAUCAACCAAAGGAGAUGGAUAUUAUAUAUUUUCUAAUCGAUGAUUUUUGAUAAAAUAUCAACUCAAUUCGGCAAAUUAAUACCCUCCCCCUACUACCCAGUCCAUUUAAAUAAUUAAUACCAAUUUAUUUGCAGUUGGUUUCAUAUUUUUUUCCUAAUUAUUAUUCCAAUUCGGCUAAUUUAUAUAUAAACUCAACAAUUUUUUCUUAAUCUAAAGUCAAAUUUUUACAGAUCCACUUCAAAUCGUCCAAUGUUUGUCGAACAAAAGAAUAACAACACAAAUAAUUGUUAUUUCCUAGUUUGGAGUUCCUUUUAAACUGGACCUAAUUAUUUGAUUCGGAGGAAAUUAAACUAUAUUCCCUCAUCCCAGUAUUAAAUUUGAUUAAAUUGCAACCGGCGCAUUGAAGCCGGUCGUUGCUUUAAAUCAAAAUCCCAUCAAAACGAGUUUUGACAUAUUGUAUGGGAUUUGGCAUAUUGUAUUAAGAGUUUCAUUUUGCCACUAAUACGGUAAGAGCUACCUUCAAAACCUUAAAAGUAUUAUCUACGAUUCCAUUAGUUUUCAAUUUUGGUGUAUAAUCAAUUAGUACCCAAGAUCUACAUGUAACUAAAAUUUAUAUGUAGAUUUGUUUUCCCAAAUAAAAUGAAAAUAAUUGUCCUUCUUACCCUCCUAAAUCUGGCCUCAACCGAGCCAUUUUGCAUAGUUAUUUUCUGUUUAAAAAAAAUUUAAAUGACCGUAAGCCAUUACCAAAAACUCCACUAAUGCUAUUGAGCUACGUAUAAAGAUUCAGUUGUAUUGUAGUUGGAGGUGGGAAUUGCAGUGUAAUGAGAAGGUAAUCGAACAGUCAGAUGGUCAAGUUGCAGAUUUUAAGAAGUUGUGUGUUCACAAGAGUUUUUUUUAGAAGUGGGUUAAUGACAGUACGUAGUUUAUAUUUACGCUCUACCCGAAAUAGCUUAGCACUGCAUAACAUAUGUAACUUUAGCACCGAUUAAAGUUAAGGGUAAAGGGUUAAAUAAAAUUCUGUUAUCUAUCAGCGACACCCGUGAUAAAGCCUAACAUUAAUACAGGAAAGUGAGGAUAGCAUCUAGCGACCCGAAAAGGUGAAAGUGGUGAUCGGUAAUCAUUGAGCGAACUGCAAGCAGGGAGUCAAAUUUGAAACGGAGAAUAUUUGUCUGUGUUUAUGCUGUAUCUGUUGCUAGUGCUCUCCAUAGCAUUGACACUGCAUAAGCUUUUUGUUGAUUGUGUAACAUAUAGAAGCAAACAUUGCUAGAAAUGUAGAAGCAAACAUUGCUAGAAAUGAGAACUUAUUCUAACACAAAAAAAAAUAAAAAAGUCGCAAGUUUCAACAAGUAUUAUAGCAAAUAAGAACAUUAAUAUAAAGUGGGUGGUGGGCUGGCAGUCAAUUUCAAAGGCCGGAAUAUUGCGGCAAUAUUAAACCAGUCUAAACAUAUCUGGGGUCCUAAUGUAGACCACAUUUGAAGGCCAAAAUUUGAAGGUAAAAUGAAAACAAAAAUGGACAGCUGUAAUCUGACUUAACUUCAAUUUUGAAACUUUAUUAUUUGUUGUUUGUGUUUGAGCUUUAUUUAAAAGGCAAUUUCAAUUUCACUUUUUUGUAUACAAUGGGGAGUCCGUCGAGUCAAUUUCAGUUAAUCGAUGAAUUUUCUUGGCGAAUGGAUUCAAAGUUGUAUUUGGUUGAUUAUAUAUUGCCCUGUUCAGAUAUGAAACACGUUUGCUGCCAAUAGAUGAACUAGAAUUUGAUACGAAAGACUAAAUCUAAAUGAACAUGCGGGCAAUGUCCGAAGAAAAUUUUUUGUACGAGGCCGAUGUUAUACUAAUUUAUUAUACUACUAUAACGCUAUUGUUAUAGUGAAGGAAGUAAAGCCAUUAUUCCUUGGUUAGGUGGUUUAGCAGAAGCUUUGUGUAGCGGAUUAGUAUCACCCCAUAGGCAGUUAAGAUUCGGAAAAACAUUAGUCUCCACUUUGGAAGAUAGGUUUGUGCUGUGAUGCGGUUUCGUUGCUUAUAAAAAUGUUUUGAAUUGUCAAAUGAAGCAUCUACAUUUCAAGGUCGGCUAUGCGGGACAAUCGUGGUGAUAUCCAAUCCUUAGAACACGAAUAUUUUUUUCAGUUGCGUGAAGUUAAUUCGUUGUGUUUGGUAAAUGGUUCAGUGUUCCCCUUCUCACCAGUGUUUCAUUUAGUGAAAUAGUUCGGUCGGUAUAUACGGAAAACAUGAGGACUACAAUUCUGGAGAAAAUAAAGACCGAGGUACCUGGCGUGGAGAGGUCGAAAUCGGACAGUCGCUAGGAAAUUUCGGGAUACAACACAAAGGUAGAGAUGUGCGAGAAAAUCUACUGUACGAUGACGAUGGACUGAAGCUUGCUUAGUCUCUGAAAAAGGUCUUUUAUACUUCAUCCUUUCAUUGAUUAAGAUAAGCAGGAAACAUAGCAAUUAAUAUGUAAGCAAGAAGUUUAGCAAAUCACGUUAGCAGAAAACAUAUCAAUUAAUAUGUAAGCAAGAAGUUUAGCAAAUCACGUUAGCGAUAGCAGCAGCUCAUCAGCGUCCAUGAAGCAUUUAAAGUUAGAGAGGAUCUGGUGAUCCAUUUUCAAGAACACAAAUCUCUUUACACUUACAUGAAGAAUAACUGAAUUUCAUCAAAGAAACUGAUUUUCGUGUUUUCAUUUUGUUUCAUUAGUUGGAAGUAGUUAUCUGGACUGGCAGAUUGAAAUGACUGUAUGGUAAGAAGCGAAAAAAUGGAAAGUUCCAGACGUAGACGACACAAAGCAUAUAUUUAUAGUCAAAUUAAUGGUACCAGCUGUUAUUUUGUUCAAGGUUCAGAUUUGAGGAGAAGAAGCUUAUUACAUUUUUAAGGGUUCGAUGCAGGCCCGAACGCAAUUCAACAUCAUCUUCGAAAAUUCAACGGUCCUGGAAUCCCGGUUGAAGUGAAUCUUUUAUAGACGCUGUCACAUCUUCUGCAAAGAAAAGUUUUAACCUUUUCGGUUCAGCAGAUUGUUUUCAACGAAUACUCAAAAAUGAGUCUACUUAUUUGGAUGAGCUGUGUGCAAAUGGAAGCUGGUUUCUCGUCUAGGCAAGACCACAAAAUGGCAAAGUGGGGUUUUAUGAUCCCCGGUAAUACGAUAUCGAAGGAUUCGUAAUCUCUAUUUCGCUCGUGCAAUUUGUUUUAAAGGCUCGCAACUUUCAUUAGUGAUUCAUCCAAUGCCCGAAUUAUUGGUUUGUCAAGCACGAAGACUUAGUGCAUUGAAUCGGUGUAAUGAACUUUUUAUUCCAAUUUGUGUUAAAAUUGGAAUAAAACAUGCAAUGCCAGAUCAUAGGAUUGAAGACUUUUUCCAAUGAACUAAAUUUUACAUAUUCGAGAUCACCGAUAAAUCUGACAUUUCCAAUGGCAUAACUUUGGGCGAGUGGCUGAACGAGUCGAUGUAGUUUUGGGUCUCAAUACAACAACAACCGCAGUUGACAAAACCUACCCGAACGCCCGUUUUUGUCCAUCAUAAAGCCAUUCCAAGAAGACUGGAAUGCGAUAUUCAAUAAGCAGAUUUGAAGUCCAAACGUUUCUACCAUGUGAUGCUCAUGCGUAAAAUCACCUUCAAAGAAAAGUGAAGCACUUAACAAGAAACGGAUUGGUGUUAAUGAUUAUAAAUAAACUAUGCAUUCACCAAACAUAAUACUAUAAACUGUUUUUAGAAUUAUUAGUUUAAUACUGACCAGAUUAGUGGUUACGCCAUAUUCCGUUUUUUAAGUGUUCUAUUUUUCGAUCUGUAUUCGAUGAAAGUAUUAAAAAAAUUUUUUUGAUAAUUAAUAGCUUAUUACUAAACAGAUCAAACUAAAUAUGCAAACUGGCUGCCUUGAGCCCUAACGUGUUUAAGUUUUGUUAUUGUAUUAGUAUCAUCUUCAGUGCCCCCAGUGCCACGUGUCUAUUAAACGUGGUAAAAUAACGUAUCUUUCAAUUUUCUCAGGUUAGAGAACAUCGGCGAUUUGAUUAUUGUAAAAGGAUUGUAACGUCAUGCCACUAUAUGUACAGCGUUCUCGGUAGCCUGACUUGGAUGCCCCUCAAAUGACGAUUUGGUCUAUUUUAUUAAUCCCUUCAACCUAACUAUCGAUAUAAAUAUAAGAAUUUGUUUGCAUACAAUUACCAAGCUAAUUGUGAGAUUACUAGAACUGAUUUUUCAGUGAAUAACCGCCUGAUUUAUAUAUUUACUUUGUUUAUCAUGAAUGAAAUUAGCAUUGUUAGAUUCACAAUCAUAGGGAAAAUUUGGAUGAAUGAAUGCUUUGGUGUCCUAAUAUUAAUGCAAAGUAAUUUUGAUGUCUUUUCAUUUUCAUAAGGUGCACCAGCAGAAAAGCCGAAGCGUUUUAAGCAAGGGUGCCAUCGAAGAAAAAUCAACCCAGCGUACUUGUAGAGAAGAGGUCGGAAAGUGCUGGCAAAAGCGGAGCGGAAAUUGUACUUAGUUAUUUAGAUCUAAAUGAGCGUGCACUUUUAAUAUUGCAUGUUGAUAUUCUCACGAGUGUCUGAUAAUUGCAUGCCUAGUGCCCCCAAAUUGGGGGACUGAAGCGGACGAAAGAACUCUGAGUCAAACCAUGCCAAGGUUCUAGAAGGAGGAGUCAAACCAUGCCAAGGUUCUAGAAGGAGAAAAAGUAGUAGACUUGCAUAGUUUCUUUUUAAUUUGAGUGUUAGGUUGAUGCAUGCCUUUUGCCCUCCUAAUUGGGGAGCGAAAGUUAAACGGAAGAAACUCGUUGUGUCAAGAAACCAUGUGUGUGAACUUUUUAUAUUCUUUUGAAUUGCGUUGUCUGGUAAUUGCAUGAUAUCUAGUAAACAGUUAUGCAUGUGCAUGCUAGGUUAAUCACCUGCGCGACAGAUGAGAAGACUAAAUGGGCCGCAGAAAGUCGAACGUGAUCACUAACAACUCACUUUGGUAUCUGAUUGAGAUCACGUUGAGUAAGUGAGAUCGCUUACCAAAGUUGUUAAAAGAAUAAUACCCGGGAACACUUUUGUAGUUUUAUGUGUUUGCCUUUAUUUUAUAUGGUUUACUAAGAACUGGUAGAACAAUUAAAGCACACUCAAAACUCUGUUUAUAUGUCACAUUUAAACAAUCUUGUUA